rnacentral:rRNA from 1 species
CUGAUGGAGCACUGCCGCGUGUGUGAUGAAGGGUUUCGGCUCGUAAAACACUGUUGUAAGAGAAGAAUGACAUUGAGAGUAACUGUUCAAUGUGUGACGGUAUCUUACCAGAAAGGAACGGCUAAAUACGUGCCAGCAGCCGCGGUAAU